ensembl:snRNA U6 U6 spliceosomal RNA
GUCCUUGCUUUGAGAGCACAUAUACUAAAAUUGUAACCGUAGAGUGAAGAUUAGCAUGGCCUCUGCACAAGCAUGACAUGCAAAUUCAUGAAGCAUUCAUAUUUACA